rnacentral:rRNA from 1 species
GACGAACGCUGGCGGCGUGCCUAAUACAUGCAAGUCGAGCGGACAGAAGGGAGCUUGCUCCCGGAAGUCAGCGGCGGACGGGUGAGUAACACGUGGGCAACCUGCCCUGCAGAUUGGGAUAACUCCGGGAAACCGGGGCUAAUACCGAAUAACAUUGGAAACCUCAUGGUUUCCUUUUAAAAGGCGGCUUCGGCUGUCACUGCAGGAUGGGCCCGCGGCGCAUUAGCUAGUUGGUGAGGUAACGGCUCACCAAGGCGACGAUGCGUAGCCGACCUGAGAGGGUGAUCGGCCACACUGGGACUGAGACACGGCCCAGACUCCUACGGGAGGCAGCAGUAGGGAAUCUUCCGCAAUGGACGAAAGUCUGACGGAGCAACGCCGCGUGAGUGAAGAAGGUUUUCGGAUCGUAAAACUCUGUUGUUAGGGAAGAACAAGUACGGUAGUAACUGCCCGUACCUUGACGGUACCUGACCAGAAAGCCACGGCUAACUACGUGCCAGCCGCCGCUGUAACAC